CCCGCUGACCUGUCAGUCCACCUCACGGUUGGAGCCUGCGGGAGCUGAGCGGGGACUCCUCGGCACCCCUUCCCCGCUCAGGCCCGGGAGCCCGCGUGUCGGGCCGUCAGUCGGUCCCUAUGCCGCGCCGAGGGACAUGGCCUUCAUUUGGUCUGAUUUUCUGAGUCUCUCAAACUGCUGCUGCAGGGUCCCUGGAGACAGCUCGUUUCUCCUGGAAGAAUCGCCAAAGUCAGCUUCAGCAGCUCACAAACGUCUUCAUUGCUCUGAGCACAGCGCUAGGCAUAGAAUUGGAUUCAGCUGAUACUUGCCACCUGGCUUAGAGAACAAGGACUCCAGCUCCAGCCCCAGCUGCGGCACCUGCUAGUUCUGUGACCUAGGUUUCUUUGCUGGGAAGGCAGAGGAAGCCAGGAGAGGCCCAUCAGAAUGGACUUCACCACUUCAUCGGCCCAGGUCGCGAUGCGGAAGCACCGAGAAUCAUCGGAGCUGGAAAGUAUAGUCCAGUGGUGUGCUAGGAAAGAAGGGGAGAAGGCCUUUUGGCCUCUGCCACGUCUCUUGACUUGGACACCUUCCCACUGCUGCUGACAGCAAUCAGACACCUGCUCCCUGAGCCCAUGGCAGCCAGCAUGCCUCUUCUACAGCACUCGCCACCCUCUCUCAGGAGGGCUGUGACGGGCCAAGUCACACCCGCAGCACAGUGACACUGCCUGUUUCAAAACUGACAGCGAGCGUGGAACGUCACCUCACCUCUGAGUGAGCCCAGGAAGCGACAACUCUCCGUGGCCAGGAAUCUCAGCUCCUCAGAUUCCGUGGAAAGGAGUAGCGAGCUGGUCCUAAAGGAGGAAGAGGAAAUGGAAACGAGCUAAACUGUCAGCUGCCUAGUGAGUGUCUGGCUCAAGACUCCUCACGUUUGCUUGAUCUCCUGUUUUUAACGCAGUACCUUUCUCUGCAGCCUCUCUGCUCACCCUGGUCACCAUUUGACUCCUCCGCCCCCUGGCGUUGGGUUGUUAUCAUAAUCCUUCACAUCCAUCUGGCUUCCCUCAACGGUUAUCUUAUUCACUCUCCUAAAAAAAAAAAAAUCCUGUGAGGAAAGAAGAAAACUGCACAACUCACUUUUGUGUGGAGUCUAAAAAAGUCGAAUACAGAGAAGCAGAGAGCAGGCUGGUGGUUGCCAGGGCAGGGAGGUGGGGGAGUGGAGAGAUGAGGUCAAAGGGGGCGGAAGUGUGGUUAUGUAGGGUGACUUAAGUCUAGAGAGCUAGUGUCCAGCCCGAUGGCUGUGGUUAAUAAUACUGUAUAGUUACUGGAAAUAUGCGAAGAGUAGAAUUCAAGAGCUUUCAUCACAAAAAAUGACUAUAUGAGGAGAUAGCAUGUUAGCUCAAAUAAUAAUCAUUUCACUAUGUUUAUGUGUAUCAAAUCAUCAUUUUUAUCAAAAGCGAGAGAAGAGAAAACAAAAAAAAUGCAAAAAAAGCCUGUGAGAUGGGAAGGGCAGAGAUUAUUCUCUCAUUUCACAAUGACGCACAAGACUGCCCUUCCGUCCUUUUGUCCAUCCAUCCGUCCAUCAUCCAUCAUCCAUCCAUCUAUCCAUCCUUUCAUUCAUUCAUUCAUUCAAAAAAUAUUUAUUAAACUACUCCUGUGUGCUAGCAACUUUGUAAUGCUCUAGGGGAGCAAAGAUGUCUGGGAAGCUCUUGAGAGAGAUAUCAACGCAUGGAAGAAAAAGAGGGAGCCUAUUUUGGGUUUACAAGCGGGAAGUCCAUGCUGUCAGAGGAAGGGGUGGUGGAUGUCAUUGCAGACCACGGCCAGCAGGUGGCACUCCGGGUCCCACGAAGCCCAAGAGCCCUUCCAGCCUUCCAGGCCCAGCUUUCAUUUCGUAUUCAUUACGGUACUUAAAAUCAAAUUCUAAGUCAUAUCAUUGAAAGGCUGCAUUCAAUUUGAUUUUAAUUCAAUUUAUUUGCCGUUAAUUGUUCCGUGCACUUCUAAAAAUGGUCAAAUUAAAUCUGGUCGUAUCAGGGCUUUCUGGGUAAGAGAAAGACGUCCAGGGAACUCAGACUCCUGCAUAAACUAGCACCUCCAGUGAGUGGUUCUAGGUCCCGGUUCCGUUCUUAGGAAAUGCUCGUGAAAAGGUAAUGCUAUUGGGAAAAGAUCCGGAAGGACAUCCUCUAAGAUGUUAAUUGUGGUAUCUCCCAGUGGUGGGACUACCAAUUUUUUUUUCUUUUAAAUACUGUGUGUACUUUAUUUAUUUUUUAGAAUGAACAGGUAUUAAUUUUCAUGCUUGUCUUCCGUUUUUCAUUGAAUAAAACCUACAAAUGGAAAAAUACAAAUCUUAAA